rnacentral:rRNA from 1 species
GACGAACGCUGGCGGCGUGCUUAACACAUGCAAGUCGAACGGAAAGGCCCUGCUUUUGUGGGGUGCUCGAGUGGCGAACGGGUGAGUAACACGUGAGUAACCUGCCCUUGACUUUGGGAUAACUUCAGGAAACUGGGGCUAAUACCGGAUAGGAGCUCCUGCUGCAUGGUGGGGGUUGGAAAGUUUCGGCGGUUGGGGAUGGACUCGCGGCUUAUCAGCUUGUUGGUGGGGCAGUGGCUUACCAAGGCUUUGACGGGUAGCCGGCCUGAGAGGGUGACCGGCAACAUUGGGACUGAGAUACGGAACAGACUCCAACGGGAGGCAGCAGUGGGGAAUAUUGCACAAUGGGCGGAAGCCUGAUGCAGCAACGCCGCGUGCGGGAUGAAGGCCUUCGGGUUGUAAAACGAUUUCGACUGUGACGAAGAGUGAGUGACGGUAAUGGGUAAAGAAGCACCGGCUAACUACGUG